UUCCGAUCCCGAUCAGCAUGAGGAAGACCG
rnacentral:piRNA from 1 species